UACGUGGGUGGCAAGCGUUGUUCGGAAUCACUGGGCGUAAAGGGCGCGUAGGCGGGGAGGUAAGUCGGGUGUGAAAUCCCUCGGGCCAACCGAGGAACGGCGUCCGAGACUGCUUCUCUUGAGGCCCGGAUAGGAAGGUGGUAUUCCCGGUGUAGCGGUGAAAUGUGUAGAGAUCGGGAGGAACACCUGUGGCGAAGGCGGCCUUCUGGACGGUGACUGACGCUGAGGCGCGAAAGCGUGGGGAGCAAACGGGAUUAGAUACCCCGGUAGUCCACGCUGUAAACGAUGGGUGCUAGGUGUGGGGGGUAUCGACCCCUCCCGUGCCGAAGCUAACGCAUUAAGCACCCCGCCUGGGGAGUACGGCCGCAAGGUUGAAACUUAAAGGAAUUGACGG
rnacentral:rRNA from 1 species